rnacentral:misc_RNA from 1 species
CAGAGUUUUUAACUCCAAACCCAUGUGAACUUACCAACUGUUGCCUCGGCGGCAGGUCAUCUUCGGGUGGCUGGCUGCCGGUGGACUACUAAACUAUUGUUAAUUUUUGGCAUUCUGAAUUUAAAACUUAAUAAGUUA